rnacentral:rRNA from 1 species
GACAAGCAAAAGAAGGGCGUAUGGGGAAUGCCUAGGCUCUCAGAGGCGACGAAGGACGUGAUAAGCUGCGAAAAACCGCGGGGAGCUGCACAUGAGCAUUGAUCCGCGGGUAUCCGAAUGGGGCAACCCGGCUGGUUGAAGGCCAGUCACACCGCAGGUGGGCGAACCCGCUGAACUGAAACAUCUAAGUAGGCGGAGGAAGAGAAAACAAGAGUGAUUCCGAGAGUAGCGGCGAGCGAAAUCGGACUGGCCCAAACCGUUGUUGUUUAGGCAAUGACGGGGCUGUAGGACCACAAUGUUCUUUGCGCGACGAACCGGAGCAGUUGGAAAGCUGCACGAUAUGGGUGACAGUCCC